AUUGAACGCUGGCGGCAUGCCUUACACAUGCAAGUCGAACGGCAGCACGGGAGCAAUCCUGGUGGCGAGUGGCGAACGGGUGAGUAAUACAUCGGAACGUGCCCUGUAGUGGGGGAUAACUAGUCGAAAGAUUAGCUAAUACCGCAUACGACCUGAGGGUGAAAGUGUGGGACCGCAAGGCCUCAUGCUAUAGGAGCGGCCGAUGUCUGAUUAGCUAGUUGGUGGGGUAAAGGCCUACCAAGGCGACGAUCAGUAGCUGGUCUGAGAGGACGAUCAGCCACACUGGGACUGAGACACGGCCCAGACUCCUACGGGAGGCAGCAGUGGGGAAUUUUGGACAAUGGGCGAAAGCCUGAUCCAGCAAUGCCGCGUGUGUGAAGAAGGCCUUCGGGUUGUAAAGCACUUUUGUCCGGAAAGAAAUGGCUCUGGUUAAUACCUGGGGUCGAUGACGGUACCGGAAGAAUAAGGACCGGCUAACUACGUGCCAGCAGCCGCCGUAA
rnacentral:rRNA from 1 species